rnacentral:rRNA from 1 species
UACGGAGGGAGCAAGCGUUACUCGGAAUUAUUGGGCGUAAAGGGCGCGUAGGCGAUUUGAAAAGUCUUGUGUGAAAGCCCCGAGCUUAACUCGGGAAGUGCACAAGAAACUGUUGAAUUUGAGUUCCGGAGAGGAAGGCAGAAUUCCCGGUGUAGCGGUGAAAUGCGUAGAUAUCGGGAGGAAUACCAGUGGCGAAGGCGGCCUUCUGGACGGAUACUGACGCUGAGGCGCGAAAGCCAAGGGGAGC